GAGGUGGUGCGGGUAAUUCUUGCACUACUCGGUGCAUGUCUUAGCAAUCGAUCGCCGAGUGUUUGCUGUUUGGAUGCCAUGGCAUUAUUUUUUUGAGUAACUCGGUGAAGGAGGGCCUGUCAUUGCGUUUGUGUGAUCCUUUCUUGCCUAAGUUGGACAUAGCUGCGAUAAUGUUGUCAGGUUUGCGCUUGCAGUUCUGAUUACCUAAAUAGUUGUUUCGAGUAUCAUUGUUGCGGUUUCUGUCUUGUUCAUAAUUGUUGUUAUUGUUGUCGCGACCGUGGUUGCG
rnacentral:lncRNA from 1 species